CUGCGAGCGUGACGGCGCGAGCAGGUGCGAAAGCAGGUCAUAGUGAUCCGGUGGUUCUGAAUGGAAGGGCCAUCGCUCAACGGAUAAAAGGUACUCCGGGGAUAACAGGCUGAUACCGCCCAAGAGUUCAUAUCGACGGCGGUGUUUGGCACCUCGAUGUCGGCUCAUCACAUCCUGGGGCUGAAGUAGGUCCCAAGGGUAUGGCUGUUCGCCAUUUAAAGUGGUACGCGAGCUGGGUUUAGAACGUCGUGAGACAGUUCGGUCCCUAUCUGCCGUGGGCGCUGGAGAACUGAGGGGGGCUGCUCCUAGUACGAGAGGACCGGAGUGGACGCAUCACUGGUGUUCGGGUUGUCAUGCCAAUGGCACUGCCCGGUAGCUAAAUGCGGAAGAGAUAAGUGCUGAAAGCAUCUAAGCACGAAACUUGCCCCGA
rnacentral:rRNA from 4 species